CUUCCGCCGCCGUAGCCGCCGCCGUGGCCGCCGCCGUGGCCGCCGCCGCUGGAGCUUCCGCCGCCGUAGCCGCCGCCGUGGCCGCCGCCGCUGGAACUUCCGCCGCCGUAGCCGCCGCCGGAACUUCCGCCGCCGCGCCCGCCGCCGUAGCCACCGCCGCCGGAACUACUGGGAGUAAGGGUCACGUUCGGUUAACUUAACUUUGGAAAAGGCUGAUGGAUCUGUCUCUCUGUCUGGUCCCACUGCAGCUGCCCUAGUCCAGACUUUCAUCACGUCUGUCAUGGAUAUUACAUCAGCAGCUUCUGAGGACGUUUUCUUGGCUCAGUGCUAUGUCACCUCUUUGCUGCUACAGAAUUAAUGUUCUUGAAGAAGUGUUGUCAUGACUUCAUCAACGUACUCAAGCACCCAACAUGGAUUCUUUUGUGGGUGGAUGAAGUCUUCUCAACAGCCUUGCCCGACUCUCUCUGUCCAACUUCCUGCUCCCUACGAUGCUGACCUGAACAGCGAACCAUUCUUCCACGUCUCUGCGGUUGUUGGCCAGCACUGUUUCAUACUGACAACGCAUCUCAUCCAGGACCCUGUUGAGGUCGAUGGUGGGGGCAGUGUCCAGCUCCACACUGAGUCGGUCACCGAGUUGUUCCCGGAGCAAGCUGACCGCCUGAAAGAGGAAAUGGAGUAAAGAAAGCCACAGAGGGUUGGAGAAGAAAAUUCACUUUGACAUCCCAAGGGCAUCCUGUUUCUGGAGAAGCAAAGGAGAUCGUCCUUCAGAGACUCCACAUGGGCCUCCAGGUCACUUUUGCACAGAGUCAGUUCACCCAGGAUCCCCCGCAGGCCGCCAAUGUCUGUCUCUACCAGCUGGCGAAGAGACAGUUCAGACUCGUACCUUUUAGAGCCGAAGAGAUACAAGAUGGUGAUUACUUUGCUAGACACCACGUAUGGUGCUGGGCAUGCUGUCAUCGGCAGCCAGUUUGCAGUUGUCAAGCUGUACAGCAAGUCUAGAAUUCUCUGCCUUCGUGCACAAGAUCUGUAUAAGGAUAAAGCAAAUCACAGGUUAGGGCAAUGAGAGACAUCAGACCUUUUGCUGGAGCUCUUCGAUGGUGUCGAAGUAACAUUGAUAAUCAGGGCACACCAGUGGGAGGUCCUCUUCACAUUGCUCUCGGAUCCUGCAUUCCAGCUCCGCAUUCAUCUCCUCCAGGCCACGCACCUUCUCCAGAUAGUUGGCGAGUCUGUCAUUGAGGAACUGCAUUGUCUCCUUCUCGUUGCUGUUGAACACUCCAUCCUCACACCAAGC